rnacentral:ncRNA from 1 species
GGGGAUCUUCGGAGCCCUUCAAAUGGCCUGCAACGUCAGGCCCCCUACAACGGAAGACAGAAA